GGGCGUGUGGUCUAGUGGUAUGAUUCUCGCUUUGGGNGCGAGAGGCCCUGGGUUCAAUUCCCAGCUCGCCCC
rnacentral:tRNA from 1 species